GGAGAGGGCGCAUGCGCCUUCCACCCGCCCGCUCGCUCGCUUGCCGGCCGGCCUCCCGGUUCCGUCGCCGUCCCGUCAUUCCCAGCGGGGAGCAAUAGAGUGGGAGUCGCUGGCGGGCUCUAGAGCGGCGCAAGGCCGAUGAUGUCGGAGAAGAAACAGCCCGUCGACUUGGGGCUCUUGGAGGAGGACGACGAGUUCGAGGAGUUCCCGGCCGAAGACUGGGCUGGUUUAGAUGAAGAUGAAGAUGCACAUGUGUGGGAAGACAAUUGGGAUGAUGACAAUGUGGAAGAUGAUUUCUCCAAUCAGCUAAGAGCUGAAUUAGAAAAACACGGCUACAAGAUGGAAACCUCAUAGCUUUCAGUGAUGCUGUGGUCUGGGAUGGGACUGCUGUAUAUUGAACAGAGAAAUGUUACAGAAUGCUAGCUGGAAGCAGAAAUACUAGAAUGUCCUUUAUUACCCCCCAAAUUUGUUUUUGUUUUGUAUGAAUAAAAAAAUGAAUCUUAAAGGGUUUUGUAUUGUCAGUAUUGUUCAACUUCAUUUCUGAAUUACUAGUAUGUACAAAAAUAAUAUUGUCAGCUAUACUAAGUCUGGGUUCAUUAUAAUGUUGACUUUCUUUACAUGAUACUUGAAGUCCACAGAAGCAGAGUGAAUUGAAGGUUUCAGACAUUUUAUCACUUUAUAUCAGAACUAGAGAAAAACUGCUGUAGUUAUUGUUUACCACUUUGGGAGGAAGAGCAGGACAGAAGUUUAAUAAACAAGUCUUAUACCGAAA